rnacentral:rRNA from 2 species
GCGUAAGCGCGCGCAGGCGGUUUCUUAAGUCUGAUGUGAAAGCCCACGGCUCAACCGUGGAGGGUCAUUGGAAACUGGGGAACUUGAGUGCAGAAGAGAAAAGCGGAAUUCCACGUGUAGCGGUGAAAUGCGUAGAGAUGUGGAGGAACACCAGUGGCGAAGGCGGCUUUUUGGUCUGUAACUGACGCUGAGGCGCGAAAGCGUGGGGAGCAAACAGGAUUAGAUACCCUGGUAGUCCACGCCGUAAACGAUGAGUGCUAAGUGUUAGAGGGUUUCCGCCCUUUAGUGCUGCAGCUAACGCAUUAAGCACUCCGCCUGGGGAGUACGGUCGCAAGACUGAAACUCUAAGGAAUUGACGGGGGCCCGCACACGCGGUGGAGCAUGUGGUUUAAUU